AAGACUUUGGAUCAGGUGAAGGUCUUUCAUGGACAUGUUUUCAUUUCCCUAAACAUCUAAAAGUGGAAUUGCGUGGUGAUAAGUGUCUUUCUUCUUUUUAA